UACAGAGGUGGCAAGCGUUGUUCGGAAUUACUGGGCGUAAAGCGUGCGUAGGUGGUCUUUUAAGUCCGUUGUGAAAGCCCUGGGCUCAACCUGGGAAUGGCAGUGGAUACUGGAAGGCUGGAGUACGGUAGAGGAGGGUGGAAUUCCCGGUGUAGCGGUGAAAUGCGUAGAGAUCGGGAGGAACAUCAGUGGCGAAGGCGGCCCUCUGGACCAGUACUGACGCUGAGGCACGAAAGCGUGGGGAGCAAACAGG
rnacentral:rRNA from 1 species